UAGAAGUUUUCUCUCAACAAAGAAAACAUGAAUUUUACAAACGAUCACAAGCCUACAACCAAGUGAAUAAUUCAUCAAUCAAUCUCAAUAUCAAAUACUCUUACAAUGAUAGUGAUGAGAUUGUUUCUAAUAUCUCAAGACAAUUAUAUGUGGCCAGUCAUUGAAGUGGAAACUUUGUUCCAAUGACAACGAGUACAUCAACCGCACCCUUAGUGGUAAAACCACAAGCAGAAUGGUCAAAAGAAGAAAACUAAAAGGUAACCAAAAAUAGUUGAUGUCGUGUGAGGUUUCUCCCUCGUGUGUCUUAGGUGCUCUGA